UACGGGAGGCAGCAGUGGGGAAUUUUCCGCAAUGGGCGAAAGCCUGACGGAGCAACGCCGCGUGUGGGAGGAAGGUUUUAGGACUGUAAACCACUUUUCUCAGGGAAGAAGAUCUGACGGUACCUGAGGAAUAAGCAUCGGCUAAUUCCGUGCCAGCAGCCGCGGUAAUACGGGAGAUGCAAGCGUUAUCCGGAAUUAUUGGGCGUAAAGCGUUCGUAGGCGGUUCAACAAGUCUGUUGUCAAAGGUCGCAGCUUAACUGCGGAAAGGCAAUGGAAACUGUGGAGCUAGAGUGUGGUAGGGGUAAGGGGAAUUCCCAGUGUAGCGGUGAAAUGCGUAGAUAUUGGGAAGAACACCAGCGGCGAAAGCGCCUUACUGGGCCACAACUGACGCUGAGGGACGAAAGCUAGGGGAGCGAAAGGGAUUAGAUACCCCUGUAGUCCUAGCCGUAAACGAUGGACACUAGGUGUUGUCUGUAUCGACCCGGACAGUGCCGUAGCCAACGCGUUAAGUGUCCCGCCUGGGGAGUACGCACGCAAGUGUGAAACUCAAAGGAAUUGACGGGGA
rnacentral:rRNA from 1 species